UGCAUGGCACAUCUGGCAUCACCCUUGCAUCACACGAGGUACAAUUAUACACAUCGAUUAGCAACAACAGUGUCGUUUUUUCGCAAAAAAAGAAGAAGAUGUGAAUAAAUAUACAUUCUGAGGGACGCCUCGCUGCUCCUGGCUUGCUGCUCAAUAUAGGGUUGAACGACCUGUCGUUCCGCGAACAUGGCCAUACCUUGAGUUGUGUAUAAUCAUCAUGGUGAAAGCCAGUGGUCAAUAUGGUAGUGAUGGAUGAUGAACGACAUAGUCUGCAACGUUGGAAAGGGAUCCCCAUGGAGAAACUUGAGAGCAUGCAGUAUCACUCCCAGCGUAGAAGUUCAUCAAGGAUCAAAAUUGCGAUUGGGCAGUCGGAUCGUACCCUAAUGCCCUCAUACUGUUUCUCGGUGAAGGCCUCGUGAGCUUGGCCAUCGUAAGGAUCUGCAUGCAGCUUGAGGGAAAAUGAAAAGAAUCAAAAUCUCUAAAUUGAUUCUUACGAUGGGAUUAGAUAGACAUACUUAUACACACAUGCAUGCAACGAGGAUAGGGGACAACGUCCAUCCAAUCUUCCAUGGUGAUGGUAGGUGCCGCAAGAUGGCGUACGUCGAUGGUGGCAGCGAUUUUCAUAGGCGCCGUAGGUUAGCGGACGACGCGGACGACGGGCCGGCUUUAAGCGCCGUGAUGGUUGCUCGAUGCAAAGCAUGACCAUGGACGACGACCGGAGAGCAUCUGAGCGACGUCUGAAUUCAAUAAACAAUAGGAAAAUCAAUUAGGAAGCUGCAUACAAAUCGACAGACCAUCAUGCAUAC
rnacentral:lncRNA from 1 species